rnacentral:lncRNA from 1 species
AUGGCCUCGUCGAGUCAGCCCUUGCUGGAGCUGCAGGGACCACUGCUCCCACCCAAGGACAUGGUGGAAGAGGAAGACGAAUAUUUAAGGGAGGACGCGGAGGAGGACGAAGACACGGUGUUUCUAGACGCAGAGGAGCUUUGCAGUGGGGGCGUAAAUGCUGGUAGCCUCCCUGGGCUGCUCCGUGUUUCUGUGUUUGAUGAAAACACUCAGGAGAAAUGUGACGUGUUUGGACGUUUUCCAUUAACUGAUGCUUGGUGGCGAGUGAAGGUACAGGUAAAGCCAGUAGGAUCAAGGAACUAUCGGGUUCAAGGAUUUCCAUCUUACUUUUUACAGUCAGAUAUGUCACCACCAAAUCAAAUCCACAUCUGUUCCCUCUUUCUUAAAGAGUGUAAUGUCUCCAGUGAGCAAAGAAUUAAGUUUUUUACAUGGUUAAAUAAUAAAUCAAGGUAUAAAGACCUCAAUUUUGAAAAUCUUAUGGAAAACUUAAGAACAUGGCAAGAGGAAAUUGAAGGGAAUAGUCAAAAACAGUCUACGCAGAAAACACAAGAGUCAUCACCAGGUCAUGAGAUGCUGCUUCCUCUGGAAUUCACAUUUCCAUUUAAAAUGGUGAUGAGAGCUUUGCAGUUUCCAAAAAUAAUGGAAUUCCUUCCAGUUCUUCUGCCCCGACACUUCAAACAGCUCAUAACCUCAAAUUCUAUAGAGGUGUUGGAAGAGAUAGAAGAGAUUUUAGGUACACAGCCAUGGAAACUUGGAUUUCGUAAAAUAACCUACAGAGAACUGAAGCUUUUGCGAUGUGAAGCAAGUUGGACGUCGUUUAGUCAGUGCAAGUCUCUGUUCCAGUUGAUGACGGAUUUGGAGAAGAAUGCAUUAAUAAUAUAUUCUCAACUGAAGCAGAUAUGUAGAGAGCAGGGGCACACGUGUGUUGAAGAAGCUGACUUAACUUUUCAACUGUCAGACCUCAUGUCUUUUCACGAUGCUUGGCAGUCUCUGAAGUUCUUGAAGGAUAUUGGUGUGGUGAUGUAUGAGAGGGGCUGUGUCUUUCUUGAUGACCUUUACCAGGCUGAGAGAGGCAUUGCCUCUUCAGUCUGUGACUUGAUGACCAGGCCCCCAUGGCAAUUACAGGUCGAUGUCAAAAAGGUGCUUGCAUCUAUUCGCACCCCAAGACCUGAGAAUUCAGGAAGUGAUGAUACACUAAAUAAAAGUAAACCCAACGAAACAAGAUUAGAAGAUCUUGUGGAUAUUUUGGACACGCAAGACAGUGGUGACCAUAUUUGGGAUGAUAGUGAAAAUGAAGUGAAUGCAGAAAUGAGUGAGGGUCAGCUGGAUCAAGACCAGAUGACUGCUCUGGACAUGAUUUGCUCCAAUGCUGUGACAGUCAUAAGUGGGAAAGGUGGCUGUGGGAAGACCACAAUUGUUAGCCAGCUUUUUAAGCAUAUAGAGUUGUUGGAAGAAAGAGAAGUGAAAAAAGCUUGUGAAGAUUUUGAACAAGACCGGAAUGUACCAGAAGAAUGGAUCACCUUCACCGAGCAAAGUCAGCAGAAACAGGACAAGGCUAUAGAAAUUUUACUUACGGCACCUACAGGGAAAGCAGCUGGCUUACUGAGACAGAAAACUGGUUUUAACGCUUAUACACUUUGUCAGGUCAAUUAUAGUUUCUAUUUAUGGAAGGAAAAAAUAAAGACCAAGAACAGGCCGUGGAAAUUUUCUUCGGUUAGAGUUCUGGUUGUGGAUGAAGGGAGUUUGGUCUCUGUAGCAAUCUUCAAGUCGGUUUUAAAUUUAUUGUGUGAGCACUCCAAACUUUCUAAACUUAUUGUCCUUGGUGAUGUUAGACAGUUACCCAGCAUUGAACCUGGUAACUUGCUGAAAGAUCUUUUCGAAACUCUUAAAUCAAGGAAUUGUGCUAUUGAACUAAAGACAAACCAUAGAGCAGAAUCUGAACUAAUUGUGGACAAUGCUACAAGAAUCUCAAGACGCCAGUUUCCAACAUUUGAUGCAGAGUUGAAUAUCUCUGAUAAUCUGACAUUCCCUGUCUCAGUACAAGAUAAAUCAUUUAUUUUUGUCAGACUCCCAGAAGAAGAUGCCAGUUCUCAGUCCUCAAAAAGUAACCAUCAGUCUUAUUUAUAUUCUGCAGUUAGUACUUUACUCCAAGAAAAGGACCUAGAAGAUGUGAAAACAUCACAAUUUAUUGCCUUUAGAAGGCAGGACUGUGACGUGAUCAACGCCUGCUGUUGCAAGCACUACACAGGACGUCUAAUCAAAAACCAUCAGAAUAGACUUGAAUUUGGAGUUGGUGAUAAAAUUUGUUGUACCAAGAAUGCAUAUCUCUCAGAGUUACUCCCUGAAAAUACCUUCAACAGUCAACAAAAUAAUGAAUUAAAAGCUAGUGGUGAAGACUUUAAUGGUGGUACUCCUGGUUUUGCUAAAAAUAAGCAUGACUUUGAAAGUGGUACUCGACUCUGCAAUGGAGAAAUAUUUUUUAUAACAGCGGAUAAAACUGAUGUAACUUUUGGAAAGAAAAGAUUUUUGACCAUUAAUAAUAUGGCUGGCCUGGAAGUAACUGUGGAUUUUGGGAAACUAAUGCAGUAUUGUCACAUAAAACAUGCAUGGGCAAGAACGAUUCAUACUUUUCAGGGGUCGGAGGAGAAGACAGUCGUGUACGUGGUGGGGAAGGCAGGCCGCCAGCACUGGCAGCACGUGUACACCGCCGUGACCCGGGGCCGCUGCAGAGUGUACGUCAUCGCAGAGGAGUCUCAGCUUCGGAGUGCCAUCAUGAGAAAGAGUGUUCCUAGGAAAACUCGUUUAAAACAUUUUCUGCAAAACAAACUUUCCAGGAGCUGUACGUCUCCAGCAGAGUUUGCUUCCUCAUCAAAGAACCCUGAAGACAGCAGGGGACCCAGCACACAGCCGUCAGCAUCUCCACUCUCUACAGUCACAGCUGACAUGGUGACAAAUGGCAGCCGUGGAAGUGGGGACCCUGUGGCUGAUGACACGCUGCUUGCCUUUGCUGAAGGAUGGGAAUUAUCUUCACAUGAUGAAGUGGAUGCAACUAAGGAUCCGUCACAACUGAGAGGGUCCAAAAGAACAUGUUGCUUGCAUGAUGCUGAAAGUCCAAGCAAAAUUCUUAUGGUGGAAGAAUCAUCUCCACAAGUAUCUUCUAAGCUUCAGAAUCUGAGACUAAAUAGUUUAACCCCCAGGCAACUUUUCAAAUCCACAAAUAAUCAAGAAACUUAGUUUUACUUCAGAUUGCUCAAAGUAAUUAUCUGUUUUUUCCAUUCAAUACAAAAUGAAAUCAUGGCUUCAAAGGAUUAAGACAAAAGAGGACGUCUGUUAAUGAGUUCUAUUUUAAGUAUUUGUAUUAGCAGCUGUUUUCAAUUUAUUCAUCAAAGAAAAUCUUAAUGAUACUGACCUCUGUCAUCAGGAGAACUGGUAGCACUGGUCAUAAUAUGACGGAAAGAUAUGUUAUAUAUGUAUUUUUUAAAACUCUGUACUUCCGUGUUCAGUUGCUCCGUUGUGUCUGACUCUUUGCAGCCCCAUGGACUGUAUAUCCUGCUAGGCUCUUCUGCCCGUGGAAUUUUAAAAGUGUUUUAA